rnacentral:misc_RNA from 1 species
AACCUAGCACACCUGCGGUGUGUACCUGCGGAAGGAUCAUUAACCUUUCAAAUCAGGGUGCGGCGCGGCCCCCGAGGAGCGGAAACAAUCCUUGGGAGGUAUGCGGGGGCUUCGAGCCCCCCAUUUACGCACGCACGACUGCCAUCCUUACUUUACGAGCACCUUCUGUUCUCCCUCGGCGGGGCAACCUGCCGUUGGAACCGAAUAAACUCUUUUUGCAUCUAGCAUUACCUGUACCGA